CCUACGGGUGGCAGCAGUGGGGAAUUUUGCGCAAUGCUCGUAAGAGUGACGCAGCGACGCCGCGUGAAUGACGAAGGCCUUCGGGUCGUAAAGCUCUUUCGACAGGGAAGAAAAUGCAUAUAAGUAACUGUGUAUGUAUUGACGGUACCUGUAUAAGCAGCCCCGGCUAACUCCGUGCCAGCAGCCGCGGUAAUACGGAGGGGGCGGGCGUUGUUCGGAGUGAUUGGGCGUAAAGAGCACGUAGGCGGUGUUGUAAGCCUGUAGUCAAAGACUAGAGCUCAACGUUAGUAAGGCUAGGGAUACUGGAGUGCUUGAGUACCAGGAAGGAAUGCGGAAUUCGUGGUGUAGCGGUGAAAUGCGUAGAUAUGAGGAAGAACCCCGUGAGCGAAGGCAGCCUGCUGGACUGUAACUGACGUUGAGGCUCGAAGGCGUGGGUAGCAAACAGGAUUAGAUACCCUGGUAGUC
rnacentral:rRNA from 1 species